UAAAUAGUUAGAGAAUAGAGAGAAAGUUCUAAAAAGAUGCCAAAAAUUUUAAAAAAUUGGAGAUUUUUAUGUGUUUUUACCGUUGUAGCUUUAUGAAGUGGCAAAAAUUUACUUCCUCACGCGCCUGCUAGAGUUUGUUGUCAAUUUCUACGCCAGACGGACAAUAAAGGUGUACGCGAUGGAGGAAUAAACAAGUUCAGAAUAAUUAAAAUGGAAUAUAGUUUAGAUAUACACUGAAUAUAAAGCUUCAAAUUCAGGGGUAAUGAACACUUUUACCUUUUUAAAAUAAACACUUUUGACCUUGAAAACUUUCCCAAACAGAUUAUAAAGAAAAUUGUAAGUACUUGAAAUACUGUACUAGUUGGUAAAAGUCAUUAAUAUUUAUCCGUUAAACCAAAGUUGAAAUAAUAAAUUGAGGACAUUUUUGCCUCUCGUUUACAUUUUUCUUGUGUGGGAUACUCAGGUCCUGAUCUUGGCCUUGCAUAAUACUCCCUUCAACGGU